UACAGAGGUCUCAAGCGUUGUUCGGAUUCAUUGGGCGUAAAGGGUGUGUAGGUGGCGCGCUAAGUCGGGUGUGAAAUUUCGGAGCUUAACUCCGAAACUGCAUUCGAUACUGGCGUGCUUGAGGACUGGGGAGGAGACUGGAAUUCAUGGUGUAGCAGUGAAAUGCGUAGAUAUCCGGAGGAACACCAGUGGCGAAGGCGGCUUCCUGGACCGACACUGACGCUGAGGCGCGAAAGCUAGGGGAGCAAACGGG
rnacentral:rRNA from 1 species